GCCACCAGUACUAACAACUCCACACCCUCACCCUGUCCAUCCAAACCGUCGCCACACCCCGCGCUGCGCUCCUCGCCACCACCAGAGGGGAUAGCGAAGGCGAGCGGCUUCUCCACCAGCCUCGAGCUGCAGCUUCCCUCCUUGCGGGCACGAGGACGCUUCGCUGCGUUUCGUGUGCCAGCAAAGAGCUUGCUGCCGCGGAGAACAGCCGCUGGCGCUCCGGAAGGUACGCGCUUGUGCUCGCGUGACUGUUAGGACCGGUGCGUGUGGUGUCGCGGAGUAGUGGACUCUGAAUUUUCUUGGUCAAAAUGUAGGCCUUUGAGUGGUGCAGAAUAGGUCUCUUGUAGCCUGUUUGGUUCUUAUCUUCAAGUCAAUCUUUAGGUUGCGUGCAACAGAUUAGUUAUCAAUUGGAAAUGGUGAAGUCUGAAGGAAGCAGUUUCACAAUUCUGCAGCUCCUGAGUUGGGGUUGGUGCCACAAUUUCCAAUCGGAUGUCGAUUCUGUAGGCUGUGCUAAUGUAAAUUCGUAAAUUGGGAUGUAAUUUGCAUCCUGAGCAGGUAUUAUGUUAAGACAGGAUUACA